rnacentral:rRNA from 1 species
AACGAACGCUGGCGGCAGGCCUAACACAUGCAAGUCGAGCGCGCCUUCGGGUGAGCGGCGGACGGGUGAGUAACGCGUGGGAAUAUGCCCUUCUCUACGGAAUAGUCCUGGGAAACUGGGGGUAAUACCGUAUACGCCCUUUGGGGGAAAGAUUUAUCGGGGAAGGAUUAGCCCGCGUUGGAUUAGGUAGUUGGUGGGGUAAUGGCCUACCAAGCCGACGAUCCAUAGCUGGUUUGAGAGGAUGAUCAGCCACACUGGGACUGAGACACGGCCCAGACUCCUACGGGAGGCAGCAGUGGGGAAUCUUAGACAAUGGGGGCAACCCUGAUCGAGCCAUGCCGCGUGAGUGAUGAAGGCCUUAGGGUUGUAAAGCUCUUUCAGCUGGGAAGAUAAUGACGGUACCAGCAGAAGAAGCCCCGGCUAACUCCGUG